UGUGGCGUCUCUCUGAACCCCCUCGACCGUCCGAGCUUCUAGACUUCUCCGACAAUGAGCUUCUCCAUUCAUCUACCGAGCCACUCUAGAAGCUCUCUAGGCUUCACUAUCAGCCGACCUUCUACAGUGAUCAACUAUUCUCCGAAUCCCUUCCAGACUUCUUUCGGUCGUGGACAACCCUACUUCGAACUUCUUCCAAACUUCGUCAAUAUCCGAGCUUC
rnacentral:lncRNA from 1 species